CAGGGUGGCAAGCGUUAAUCGGAAUUACUGGGCGUAAAGCGCGCGUAGGUGGUUUGUUAAGUUGAAUGUGAAAUCCCCGGGCUCAACCUGGGAACUGCAUCCAAAACUAGGCAAGCUAGAGUAUGGUAGAGGGUGGUGGAAUUUCCUGUGUAGCGGUGAAAUGCGUAGAUAUAGGAAGGAACACCAGUGGCGAAGGCGACCACCUGGACUGAUACUGACACUGAGGUGCGAAAAGCGUGGGGAGCAAACAGGAUU
rnacentral:rRNA from 1 species